AUCUUUUCUCAAUAUAUACAUAUGUGUGUAUAUGUAUGUAUGUAUUUGGGUGUUUAUAUGUGUAUUUAUAUAUAUAGACUGAUAGAAAAAUAGAUAUAGAUAGAUUUAUCUAUCUCUCUAUAUCUCCAAGAGGAUCUAGAGUAAGUGGGUAAGGUGUGGUUGUAGGGAGAUGCAGGAACAUCUGACUUUGGAACAUUACUCCAUGAAAAGAUAAGUAGUUAUUUUGACCCAUUUUAACUACAAAUUCAUUGAUAGAUAUUGUGACCUAUUUCUCAGCAGUAAGUAGGACAAUGAGAAUAUGUGAUGCAGAGAAACUAAAGUUUCUAAAAUGAACUGCCCAGUGUAUAAACGAAUGUACUCUGUUCAUUCAAUCACCAAGUGUUCUUGGUCUCUUAUGCUUCAGUCCUGAGCUAGGAACUGAGUAUCCAGUAAACAAUAAAAGUACACAUGGGCCCCCUCUUCCUGGAGCUUCCUCUCUAAAUAGAAGACAUAUAUUAAAUGAAUCACAUUCAAAUAAAUAUUUAAACAACAUUUGAAAAGUCUAUGAAGACGAAAUAUAAUGAAAAAGACAGAGUGGGUGUAAUUUUGUUGGUGAUGGGGUUAGAUCAUAAAGGCUUCAGUGAGACCUAAAUGAUGAGUAGAAGGGGAAGAAGAGCUCCAAGUGGAGGGCAAUGUGCAAAGGUAGAGAAGUGGAUGGAGGAUGAGAAGAUUACCUUGUGGUUGGAACAUAAUGAGUCAGGGCAAGAGUGGCGGAGAAGCGGAGUAGAGCAGGUUAUUCAGCGGUUACUAGGGAGUUUGUAUUAUAUUCUGACUGCAAUGGACCAUUGAAGGAUUUAUACCAUGGGUACCUGGGUGUGUGGAUGUAUCGUUGUAUGGCAUGAGCCAGUUAAUACUUUCUAAAGCUCAAUCUGGUAUGGAUAUGAGGUAAGAAUAGAAGCUAGAAUACCAGUAGCUUGGACCAUGGUGGAUGCAGCAAAAUGGAGAAAUGAAUGAUUCAAAAUCUAUUUAGGAGGUUGACUUCUGAGAGUUUGGGCAUAGAUUAAAUGAGGCAAUAAGGAUAAAGGAGUCAAAGAUGAUUCUAAGGUUUCCAUUUAACUUUCUAGUGUCUGUUAAUAUUUGAUUCAAGAAAAAUGUAUCUGUCUUUUAGUAAUUUCCAGGUUCUGGAAGGUAAUCUGAUGGUUUGUUCAGAGAAGCCUUCUCAACCACGCAAGGUACCCAUACCCUAGUUAUUCUGUCCUAUUUUUCUUUUAUCUUACAAGCAGGCAUCACAUUUUCUUACUUGCUUAUUUUGAGUAUAAUCUCCAUGACAGUGAUGUGUAUUCUUGAAGACUAUAUCCGGAGAACCUAGCACAGUGUCUGUGUCUGGCAUAUUGAAAAUGCUCAAUAAACAUAUUCGUUGAAUAAAACGAUGAAUGGACUAAUGAAAAAAUAAUAAGGGAGAAAUACUUGACUCCAAGGUGUCACUACCUAGCCAAGUGCAUGAAGGAGUGCCGCAAAUGU
rnacentral:lncRNA from 1 species